GUAGGUGGCAAGCGUUGUCCGGAAUUAUUGGGCGUAAAGCGCGCGCAGGCGGUCCUUUAAGUCUGAUGUGAAAGCCCACGGGCUCAACCGUGGAGGGUCAUUGGAAACUGGGGGACUUGAGUACAGAAGAGGAAAGCGGAAUUCCAAGUGUAGCGGUGAAGUGCGUAGAGAUUUGGAGGAACACCAGUGGCGAAGGCGGCUUUCUGGUCUGUAACUGACGCUGAGGCGCGAAAGCGUGGGGAGCAAACAGGAUUAGAUACCCUGGUAGUCCACGCCGUAAACGAUGAGUGCUAAGUGUUAGGGGGUUUCCGCCCCUUAGUGCUGCAGCUAACGCAUUAAGCACUCCGCCUGGGGAGUACGGCCGCAAAGGCUGA
rnacentral:rRNA from 1 species